CCCUUAGAUGUCCUGGGCCGCACGCGUGCUACACUGGUACAUUCAACGAGUUUACAACCUGAACUGAUAAGUUUGGGUAAUCUUUUGAAUGUGCAUCGUGAUUGGGAUAGAUGAUUGCAAUUCUUCAUCUUCAACGAGGAAUGCCUAGUAAACGCAAGUCAUCAGCUUGCAUUGAUUACGUCCCUGCCCUUUGUACACACCGCCCGUCGCUCCUACCGAUUGAAUGUUCCGAUGAAUACCAUGGACUGAGAGUAUGAAUGGGUUCGCCUAUUUCUGCUUCUCGGGAAGUGGAGUAAAUCUUAACAUUUAGAGGAAGGAGAAGUCGUAACA
rnacentral:rRNA from 1 species